rnacentral:tRNA from 1 species
AGCUGGUUUAGUUUAUUUAAAAUGUUGCUUUGUGGUAGCAAAGAUAAUGUUAGGUUAACUAGUUUC